rnacentral:rRNA from 1 species
AUUGAACGCUGGCGGCAGGCCUAACACAUACAAGUCGAACGAGUGGCGGACGGGUGAGUAAUGUCUGGGAAACUGCCUGAUGGAGGGGGAUAACUACUGGAAACGGUAGCUAAUACCGCAUACCAUCAGAUGUGCCCAGAUUGCAUUAUCUUGUUGGUGGGGUAACGGCUCACCAAGGCGACGAUCCCUAGCUGGUAUGAGAGGAUGACCAGCCACACUGGAACUGCGACACGGACAAGACGCCUAUGGGAGGCAGCAGUGGGGAAUAGUGCAAAAUGGGCGAAAGCCUGAUGCAGCAAUGCCGCGUGUAUGAAGAAGGCCUUCGGGUUGGAAAGUACUUUCAGCGGGGAGGCGGGAAAGGAAGAAGAAGCACCGGCUAACUCCGUGCCAGCAGCCGCGGUAAGUG